rnacentral:rRNA from 1 species
UAGGGAAUCUUCCGCAAUGGGCGAAAGCUUGACGGAGCAACGCCGCGUGAGUGAUGAAGGUCUUCGGAUCGUAAAACUCUGUUAUUAGGGAAGAACAAAUGUGUAAGUAACUAUGCACGUCUUGACGGUACCUAAUCAGAAAGCCACGGCUAACUACGUGCCAGCAGCCGCGGUAAUACGUAGGUGGCAAGCGUUAUCCGGAAUUAUUGGGCGUAAAGCGCGCGUAGGCGGUUUUUUAAGUCUGAUGUGAAAGCCCACGGCUCAACCGUGGAGGAUCAUUGGAAACUGGAAGACUUGAGUGCAGAAGAGGAAAGUGGAAUUCCAUGUGUAGCAGUGAAAUGCGCAGAGAUAUGGAGGAACACCAGUGGCGAAGGCGACUUUCUGGUCUGUAACUGACGCUGAUGUGCGAAAGCGUGGGGAUCAAACAGG